rnacentral:lncRNA from 1 species
CAAUAAUUGCCUCAUUUCAUUAAUGUAAAAAUAAACGAGCCAAAACAAAACUAAAUAAGAUAUUGUUGCUAAUGGCACUUGGCCUUAUUACAUUUAAAAAGGAAAGCAAGUAAAUCUAAUAUCUACUUGGUCCCAGAAGGACCCUCUCCAAACCAAAUGCUAUUGUCGAUCAACUCUCCCAACUUGCGCAGGUUCAGCAGUAGGAAUGCCCUUGCCAGAUGCCCUCCUUCAUUUCCUUCAACAUUUUGACAGUCGGUGACCCUCUUCCUUAUCUUUCCUUCAAAUUCCAUUAAAUUAUACUCCAGAUAUUCCAACCUCUCGAUGGAUUUAACAGCUCUUUCUUUCCACUCGUUAAUCAUUUCCAUGUCAGCCUUAUGAUGCGCCAUAUGCUCAGCUUCAGACUGUCGAACUCUUUUCCGCAGCUUGUUGUACUUCGCCUCUACUUCGGCGAACUCAUCUAUGAACCUAUUUCCUGGACCAACCUUGGCUCAAAGACUCCUGAUAGAUUAUCAUCCAACCAUGAGGGGUAAAAGAAUGAGUGGCCCGCAUGGUAUCGGUCUGGCUCGAUGGUAUCCUUCUCCACAAUAAUCUUCAAAGUCCACAUAUGUUGUGCUUCAUUCUUAUAUGGGAUGGCGUCACCGUGGAAAUCGGCUCUGAAGUGACUCAUUGUCAUGACCCAAACCAAUGGGCCGUGAUGGGAACCUGGUACCUUACUCAACCAAGUACCAACGUAACGUAUCUUUCUUAUUAUAUCAUCAUAUACACGUGACAUACGGGCCUAAUAGGCCAACAUGAUCAUUUAUAAAUUCAAAACAUAGGCCGACGAGGUCGUACAAUCUUUCACGUACACUACAUAUGUCUACAAGCCUCUAAGAGUACAUAAAUGUCAAAAAGGUCGGGACAGAGCCCCGCCAUACCAAACAACACACGUCUAAAUCAUACUAACCAAACACGCAACUCUGAAGCAAAUGGAGCGCACCAAUAUCUUCCCCUGAGCUGAUAGCCUACUUGGAGGGCUCUCGACCUGUUUGUCUGGACCUGCGGGCAUGAAACGUAGCGUCCCCAAGCAAAAGGGACGUCAGUACAAAAUAAUGUACCGAGUAUGUAAGGCAAUAUACUGAAAGCUAAACUGAAUUGAUAAUAUAAUAACUUCAAGUAGCUGGAAGUCAAAGAUAAUUUGAAGACACCCUUGAGGUUGUCAAGUAAAGUUAUGCUGCAAAAUGAAAACACCCUUUGGUCCUCUCCGAUAGGUGUUGUAUCAAUUGAAAUAUAUCAACAAUUAACAUUUGAAAAUCAUGCUAACAAUUAAUGUGCAUAAGACAUGUAAAAUCAAAAGUUUCUUGGUAACUUUGUCCUGAGAACAAUUUACUACAAUGUCACGAAAUCGUGUACAAUUAUCUCUUUGUUUAUGCUAAUUUUUAGUUUAGUUAUUCGUGUGUUCUUUGUAACAAUAUUGUAAAAUUAAAGAAAAAAAGAUUAGUGAAUCUUGUAGUGUUUCAAAAAUUGUUCACGUUAUUCAAGAUCAUUGAAAUCGUAAUACAAUAUCUCCAAUGCCUCUCGUUAAUUAUCUGACUGUAGGAAAUUUUAGCCUUGGAUUAGUUUCACCGUAAAAUCUGUAAUUAGAGAUUUUAUAUUUGAGUUCUGGGAAUGCUUACCUGCUGAUACUGACUCAACUCUCUCAACAUAGUAAGUAAAAUAGUUGUCCGACCCUAUAAGGCUCGGUAUAUAUAUAUAUAACUGCUCUGCUAUAGUAGGCUCGCUCAUAGGCGCUCGGCCAUACUAGGCUUUGUAUCUCGACCAACUAGGCUCGCUCACAAGCGCUCAGCCACAGUAGGCUCAGUAUAUAUAUAACUACUCUGCCGUAGUAGGCACGCUCAUAUGCGCUCGGCCAUACUAGGCUCUGUGUCUUAACCAACUGGGAUCGCUCAUAAGCGCUCGGCCAUAGUAGGCUCGGUAUAUAACUUACCAUCUAAUCAGAGGUUGCCUAAUAGAGGUCUGCCCAUCGAUUAUAGCUCGAUGGUAAUAAAAAUAUUGUAAUAUAAUAUAUAAAGACUCUCUACUCUCUUGACUAAAAAAGUAAAUACUCAACUGAAUAUUAAGUCCCAAUAAGGAAAAAAAUAUAACUUACAACACUAGGAAAAUAUACGCAAUUUGCGAGACUAGCAAAAUAUACGUAAAGUCCGGGAUAUGAAUUUUUCUUUAUGGCUCAUUAACAAAAUCGUGUAAUGACAAGAUCACGCAAAAUGAAAUAAAUGUUUAGCCUUAACAUACCUGUUCCAUAAAUUAUUUGAUCGAAGUGAAGCUUCUGCUUCCGUGAAAUAUGUUGGAACAAGAAAACGAAGCUUUUGCUUCUGCAAUUAGAACGAACUUUGCUUGAAUUUUGUUGGAGUUGGACGAAUUUGCUUCAAUUGAAGCCUUUGCUUUUGAAUUGAAAUGUUUAUGCCUCAACACUUCUUUUAAACCAAGGACAACAACGAUUCUGAUAAUUGGUAAAGACAGAAUGUCUUUGUUUUAACCCCAAGACAAAUGCUUUUAAGUCUUAUUUUGAUAAGGCUUCAAGUUAUAUUAAUGCCACCUACUCAAUAUUCCAUAUGAGUCAUCCUUAAGUAGUGGCCUUUCUGCCACGUUUUCUUGGGGAAGGAAUUUAAUCUUAUCCGCUUAUUAGUUAACCGGGUAAUAUUUCGUUACCAGGUAAUUAAUCUAUUACCCACAUAGUUUAAAAAUUAUCACAAAUUACUUAAAUUUCUAUUUAUUUUCAAAAUAUUUCAUAUAUACUUUAUAUAUUACACUACCGUAAUCAUAUGGUACCUUGUAUGAUACUAGUCCAUAAGUACCGAGUAUUUUAGCUCGAGCCGUAUUUUAUCCCAACAUGUCAAACUUGGACGAAAAUUCGUUUCCUUUGACUUCAUCCCCCUUCACCUUUACUAAUUACUUGUGAAAUAGCAUUAUCCUUAUAAUCUCCAAAUAAUCUUUUACUUGGACUGAUGUCAAUUACCUUACUACAAAUUCAAUGUACAAUACUUGAGGGUGCAACAUCGUCGUAACUUAAUACUGCGAAGCGUGACUUCACUGUAAUGUAAUACUGAUGGGUGCAACAUUGUCGUAACUUAAUACUGCGAAGUGUAACAUUAUCGUAAUAUAUUACUAUUGAGGGUAACAUCAUCGUAUUAUAUUACUGCAGAGUAUAACAUCGACAUAAUACUGUGGGGCGUAACAUUAUUCCCCCCUUUGGAACAUUCGUCCUCGAAUGUUGACUGAUGCACUUAUCAGUUUCAUAAACUUAUAUCUUCCAAAUACUUUAGAACUUCCCUUGACAUCUAGGCGACUAUCCUGUGAAUAAGUCCAAAGUCCAGGGAAUUCCCCCUCUAGGCCUCCUACUCACACCACAACUUGUAGUCGGAAUCCUUCCAAUCUCGUAAUUGUUGCUACCUUCCAUCAUGCAGCCUGUACAAUUUUGACCUUGUAAGUGUGCCCAAUCUCUAGGCUUCAUAUGUAGAGCUUUAUAAGAUGUCAUUUUGGGCAUCUAUGGGUAUACUGAAGUUCUUCGCUCGGUACUUUGUUGAAUUCACAAAUAUAUAUAUAUCCCAUCGCAUAGGUCUGUUUAGCCAUCCGUAUGAAUUUACUACCAUAACUAUUACAUUAAUUUAGUGUUGCUGAGGUCUGCUACCAAAUCCCAUCUUACUCUCGUUGCUUAUUCCAUAUCUAUAAAUUUAAGUCCUUUAUUGCUUCCUUAUUACUGCUCAUCUUUAGAAUGACGAUCUAAUCUCAUCUCAUACUUUGUGACUUUUGUCCAUCCAUUGUUGAUUCACCUGGUUAUUGAUAUACAAUAUACCACUGACAACUUGAAACUUCUUACAUAAUACCUUGCCCCUAGGGCUUACGUUACAUCAAGGAAUAUUCGAAGUAACUUUCCUGAUCCACUUAGCGGCGAUACUAUUCUUCAAUAAUCAUAUUCUAUAGCAUCCCAAGGUGAUUCUCUUAUAUGAGUAUUUUAAUCCCGUUCAUUAGUCACGGUAGGCGCCACUUUCCUUUGAAGUGCUUAUAAUAUUGUUGUGAGACUGUUGUUACAUGACCAUUUCCUCUUUAGGUCGUUGUGCUUAAGUUGAAGCCUUCUUCCUUAUUUCCUCAGCUAGUCUUUCGUUAUAGUACUUAGGGAGAACCCUUGACCCUCGUAAAGCUGUGAGCUUAUUACGGACCUUUUGAUGUCCUUCCUUGCCUAUAAUUAUCCGUAGUUGCUUACCUCUGUGCCCUUGUGCUUGUAGGGUUACUUCAACUGAUAUUUUGAUUGCCUUCCUAGUGGCACAUUCUUUUAUCCCCGUAACACUCAUACGGUAUCUUUAACUACCCCAAUACCUAUUUGAAUAUAUCUCCAGUAUUAUAAUAACAUUAAUUCAAGGAUGAAAUCUCCAUGUUGGGGUUUACUACAUUUAUCUUGCAUGAUCUGCUAAUUUGUCUGUAACUUCUUGUCUAGCCAUGACUAGGCUCUUCCUGAAUCAACUACCAACUAUUCAUUGACCAAUUCUCAUAUCCAUAUUCUGCAUAAUCUCUCUUAGAUUAUUUCCUUUGUCUAACUUACCUCUUGCACUGGCUCCUUAUUUAUCAAUAACCUUCCAGGCAAGAAACCUUACUUCCUUUUUCUGAUAUCGUGCUUACGUAACGUUAUGGAAUCAUAACAUAACUAUAGGAUUCGGAUAAGUGCAAUCUCAUCCCUUUCUCAUUAUUAUUGCAUUCUUCCUUUAUCAUUCCAUAUUCCCCCCUUUAGGGGAGUACUAAGACUUGGAGCUAUGACGACCUGCCUAUAGAUGUUUUUCCUCUCCAUUUUUGGCAUCCCUUCGCAUCAUCAAUGACCCUUAAUCGCCUUACGGUAAUCCUUAUGUACCAAGGAUAACAAAAUUCCUCAAUCGCAAUGGUGGCACUUAGUGUAAGUGGCACAUAUGGUCUCUUAAGCUUAACUUUGCUCACAUUGCUUGCUUUAGGGAAGCGUUUUCCUGAAUGACCAUCCUCUGAAUUUGUCAUGGAUCUUCUUCUGUUGUCCAUUCUAUUAUUACUGGAACGCAAUAUGAAAUUCUCAUGAUGCUGACUAUUAUCAAAUCACUCAGUCCCUAAUUAAUGUUUAGUUUAUCUUGUUCCCCAGUCCAUACUGAUCUCUAUUAUUCUGGGGUCUAGCUUUUCCUAUUUGUAAUCACGUUAGAGUCACAAACUUAUUUCUUAAAAUGAGAAUAUGACUUCAUGGCGUAUACUCUUUUGUUGUCCUAAGGCCUGUCACCUCUCGUCUCUUCAUUCACUUGACUAGACUGUGUAAUACUGUCGUCAUUUUUUUUACCAAGCUUUGUCAUCCAUGUAUCACAUCUUACUCAUAAUUUUUUAUUAACUUUCUUCUUAUUUUCCACUAAUCAUCUAGGUCUAUUGUGUUACUUUGAAAACUUGAACAAAACAUUCUUUUGCUUUUGGCUCCCCUUGCUCCAUCCCUUGGCUCUUUGGGUUGCCCAGCAUUCUCGUUCUACUAGGGAUGAGAGCCAUACUAAGGUAAUAUUUAUCCCUUUAAGUCUUCCAGUUACUAUCUCUGUAGUACUCAUAUCUAGCUGUACUAUUUUACAAUGCAUAAUCUGGGUGUCUCAUAAAGAGAUAUAUUAGCACAUUUGCAAUAUCCUUCGAAAAUGUCAACUGACGCGAAAAAUUCAGCCAUCAUAUCUUCUUAUACUACUUCUGUUAACCCCCAUAGGGCAUAUCUGGAAUGGGUGCGACCAAUUGUAUAUACCUCUGUUACCAUUGAAUAUAACUCAAAAAGCUUAUGCUCCUCUGCCUCAAUUAUAAACGUUGUUAACCUUCAUUAAUUGGGUGCCUCGUACCCUUCUUCAUCUUGCUUCUUUUGCUUGUUGAAACUUGUAUUUAUCUUCUUAAUCUCUCAUUGUCUUUCAUCAUAAAGAUGGAUAGGCAUUCUUGCCUCAAUGCUUCUUAUCAGGAAGCUUACACCUUUCAGUACACCCAUGAUCUGCUAGAGACCUCACAUUUACUUAUCGUAGGCAUCAUACAAAAAUUCAUUUCCUCUGACUCAGCUUUUCCACAACAAUCUCUCUUUCCAACCUUCUUUCCGAAUGUAGGUAUUGUCAUAUUAUAAAUAGGAUUUAGGAAUUUGAAUUUCUAUGACUGAGCUCUACCACACGAUCUAGAAUAAGAAGAAAGAGUAACAAUCUUAAAUGCCUUGUAGCCUUCUGCUUGUAAGUGUGGAGCAUGACACACCCAUAAACAAUACUCUACUAGACACGGCUUGUAGACUCCCUAGUACAGAACUGCUUUGAUACCACUUUUGUCACGACCUAAACCGAUGGGCUGUGACGGGCACCCGGUACCUUACUCAACCGAGUACCAAUGUAACGUAUAUUUCUUAUUACAUCAUCAUAUACACAUGACAUACGGGCCUAAUGGGCCAACAUGAUCAUUUAUAAAUUCAAAACAUAGGCCAACAAGGUCGUACAAUCUUUC